rnacentral:rRNA from 1 species
AUGAAGGAUGGAAGAGUGCAGCGACAUGGCGAUCAGGAUGUGGGUGGGCAUCGCGCAGAACACAUGUCGGAUGAGGGCCAACCGCUCGCCGCGGGACAGCAUAGACGCCCACCAUGGGGAGAGCUUCUUCUCCAGCCUCUCAACGAAGGGUUGGAGGGAGGAGGUGGUGAUCUUGCGAAUGGAGAGUGGGAGGCCGAGGUACUUGGCGGGGAACUCGCCGAUCGGGCACGGGAAGUGGUUGGAGAUGGAGUCCCGGAGCUCGGGGGGGCAUUGGAUGGGCAUGGCCGUGCAUUUGCCGAGGUUGGUGUGAAGGCCCGAGGCAGCACCGAACAGCCUGAGAAUGUGGCGCACCGCAGAAAGAUCGCGCGCGUCCGGGUGGCAGAAAAGCACGACGUCGUCCGUGUAGAGGGAGAGGCUGGAGGCCAUGUGCCGAUCAGUGAGCCGUUGCAGGAGGCCCAGGGAGGUGGCACGCUGGAAAAGGCGGUUGAGGAUGUCGAUGACGAUCACGAAGAGGAUGGGGGACACGGGGUCGCCCUGGCGAAGCCCCUUGCAAUGACGGAUUGGCGGCCCUGGGAGCGUGUUGAUGAGCACCUUGGUGCUAGCCGUGGAGACGAGGAUGGAGAUCCAGUUGCGCCAACGGGCCCAAACCCCAAGUGCUGCAGAACCUCGAGGAGGAAGGGCCAGGAGACAGAGACAAAAGCGCGCGCGAUGUCCAGCUUGAGAAGAACACGCGGCAGACGAAGAGUGUGGAGCUGCCUGUCAGUCUGUUGGACGAGCAUGAAGUUGUCGUGGAUGCUCCGGCCAGCGAUGAAGGCGCUCUAG